rnacentral:rRNA from 1 species
CUGACGGUAGUCGUAUGCUCGUCUCCGAGACUAAGCCAUGCAAGUCCAAGUACACGUCCUUGAACGACGGAAACUGCGAACGGCUCAUUAAAUCAGUUGCGAUCUACUCGGCGUUCCGCGCCGCCGGAUAACCGUAGUAAUUCUAGGGCUAAUACGUGCGAAGCGCCCGAAGCCGCGAGGCGACGGGCGUUCUCGCCGGAUGUAGGAACCGACCCGGGGACCGCCGGGGCAACCCGGCGCCCCCGAGACGGGGCGAACCACGGUGAAAUGACGGAUCGUCGGCCCCGCGCCGGCGACUCGCCGAAUGAGUUUCUGACCUAUCAACUCGAGACGGCGGGGUAGAGGCCCGCCGCGGUAACGACGGGUAACGGGGAAUCAGGUUCGAUUCCGGAGAGGGAGCCCGAGAAACGGCUACCACUU